rnacentral:rRNA from 1 species
AUUGAACGCUGGCGGAAUGCUUUACACAUGCCAGUCGAGCGGCAGCGCGGCCUUCGGGCUGGCGGCGAGCGGCGAACGGGUGAGUAAUGCAUCGGAACAUGCCCAGUCGUGGGGGAUAACACUUCGAAAGAAGUGCUAAUACCGCAUACGUCCUGAGGGGGAAAGCGGGGGAUCGCAAGACCUCGCGCGAUUGGAGUGGCCGAUGUCAGAUUAGCUAGUUGGUGGGGUAAAGGCCUACCAAGGCGACGAUCUGUAGCUGGUCUGAGAGGAUGAUCAGCCACACUGGGACUGAGACACGGCCCAGACUCCUACGGGAGGCAGCAGUGGGGAAUUUUGGACAAUGGGGGCAACCCUGAUCCAGCCAUUCCGCGUGAGUGAAGAAGGCCUUCGGGUUGUAAAGCUCUUUCGGCAGGAACGAAACGGUGGGCUCUAACAUAGUCCGCUAAUGACGGUACCCGAAGAAGAAGCACCGGCUAACUACGUG